UGGCCACAUUACAUUGAAACACAGGUUCCUGUAUGAUCACCAAAGCUAAGCAAUGUUGAGCCUGACCAGUAACUAGAUGGGUGACCACUUGGGAAUACCAGAUGCUGUAAG